UGUUAUCUUUUCAAAACAAGGAACCAAAAGAUAAAGCAUGAAUUGUCUUUUUAUCUAAUAAAUCUGGUGGAUUGGCCCUCCAUUCCCUAGAAAACAGAUUAAUUGUGUAUCAAUUGCCAUAUGUCUCUAAUGGAUAAAUUAUAUAAGAUGGCAAAAGUCAUAUAAAAAAUAAUAUACCACUUGCAGAUUAUGCAAAGCUGGCAUACAGCAGGGAGAUGUAACCGAGGAAAACAUGGGAGUUAAACAAAGAAUCCAGGCUGACGUGCUAAACGGUAAUAAAUAUCAAGUCAAAUCAAAUGGUGGGAACAAGGAACUAUCCAUACCAAUAAUGCCAGUUUCCACUGAGAGACUAAUGCGAUGCACCAUGUGAUUAGCUGUUCAUUCCAACUUUCUUCAAAAAGUUUUAUAUCCAUGAGGUUCCAUCUAAUCUGGUCCCUCUAAUCUUCAAAACAAUUUUUAUGAUAAAUACUUCCUAGCUCUUCCAACUUCUCUAUUCUCCUAUCUUUUAUUUUUUUCAAAAAAAAAUACAUAGAAGGAGAUAUGAAGAUUUUACAGAAUGAGAUGGCCAAAAAUUAUCAUCAAUCAAAAAAUGGACGUCA
rnacentral:lncRNA from 1 species